rnacentral:rRNA from 1 species
GGUCUGAGAGGAUGAUCAGUCACACUGGAACUGAGACACGGUCCAGACUCCUACGGGAGGCAGCAGUGGGGAAUAUUGGACAAUGGGCGAAAGCCUGAUCCAGCCAUGCCGCGUGUGUGAAGAAGGUCUUCGGAUUGUAAAGCACUUUAAGUUGGGAGGAAGGGCAGUAAGUUAAUACCUUGCUGUUUUGACGUUACCAACAGAAUAAGCACCGGCUAACUUCGUGCCAGCAGCCGCGGUAAUACGAAGGGUGCAAAGCGUUAAUCGGAAUUACUGGGCGUAAAGCGCGCGUAGGUGGUUCAGCAAGUUGGAUGUGAAAUCCCCGGGCUCAACCUGGGAACUGCAUCCAAAACU